GAAAGAUCUCCCAUGCUCAUGGAUUGGCAGGAUUAAUUUAGUAAUAAUGGCCAUUUUACCAAAAGCAAUCUACAGAUUCAAUGCAAUCCCCAUCAAAAUACCAAUCCAAUUCUUCAAAGAGUUAGACAGAACAAUUUGCAAAUUCAUCUGGAAUAACAAAAAACCCAGGAUAGCUAAAGCUAUCCUCAACAAUAAAAGGACUUCAGGGGGAAUCACUAUCCCUGAACUCAAGCAGUAUUACAGAGCAAUAGUGAUAAAAACUGCAUGGUAUUGGUACAGAGACAGACAGAUAGACCAAUGGAAUAGAAUUGAAGACCCAGAAAUG
rnacentral:lncRNA from 1 species